rnacentral:rRNA from 1 species
GUGAGGAAUUUUCCGCAAUGGGCGAAAGCCUGACGGAGCAAUGCCGCGUGAAGAAUGAAGGCCUAUGGGUUGUAAACUUCUUUUCUCAGAAAAGAAUUAUGACGGUAUCUGAGGAAUAAGCAUCGGCUAACUCUGUGCCAGCAGCCGCGGUAAGACAGAGGAUGCAAGCGUUAUCCGGAAUGAUUGGGCGUAAAGCGUCUGUAGGUUGUUUAAAAAGUAUUCUGUCAAAGAUUAGGGCUUAACCCUAGAUAGGCAGAAUAAACUUUUAAGCUAGAGUUUGGUAGAGGCAGAGGGAAUUCCCGGUGGAGCGGUGAAAUGCGUAGAUAUCGGGAGGAACACCAAAGGCGAAGGCACUCUGCUGGGCCAAUACUAACACUGAGAGACGAAAGCGAGGGGAGCAAAUGGGAUUAGAUACCCGGGUAGUCC